AUUGAACGCUGGCGGCAUGCUUCACACAUGCAAGUCGAACGGCAGCGCGGGCUUCGGCCUGGCGGCGAGUGGCGAACGGGUGAGUAAUGCAUCGGAACGUGCCCAGUAGUGGGGGAUAGCCCGGCGAAAGCCGGAUUAAUACCGCAUACGACCUGAGGGUGAAAGCGGGGGACCGAAAGGCCUCGCGCUAUUGGAGCGGCCGAUGUCGGAUUAGCUAGUUGGUGGGGUAAAGGCUUACCAAGGCGACGAUCCGUAGCUGGUCUGAGAGGAUGACCAGCCACACUGGGACUGAGACACGGCCCAGACUCCUACGGGAGGCAGCAGUGGGGAAUUUUGGACAAUGGGGGCAACCCUGAUCCAGCCAUGCCGCGUGCGGGAAGAAGGCCUUCGGGUUGUAAACCGCUUUUGUUCGGGAAGAAAUCCUCUGGGCUAAUACCCCGGGGGGAUGACGGUACCGGAAGAAUAAGCACCGGCUAACUACGUG
rnacentral:rRNA from 1 species